UACAGAGGUCCCAAGCGUUGUUCGGAUUCACUGGGCGUAAAGGGUGCGUAGGCGGUCGGGUAAGUCUGAUGUGAAAUCUCCAAGCCUAACUUGGAAACUGCAUUGGAUACUAUCCGGCUAGAGGAAUGGAGGGGAGACUGGAAUACUUGGUGUAGCAGUGAAAUGCGUAGAUAUCAAGUGGAACACCAGUGGCGAAGGCGAGUCUCUGGACAUUUCCUGACGCUGAGGCACGAAAGCCAGGGGAGCAAACGGGAU
rnacentral:rRNA from 1 species